AUUGAACGCUGGCGGCAGGCCUAACACAUGCAAGUCGAGCGGAUGAAGGGAGCUUGCUCCUGGAUUCAGCGGCGGACGGGUGAGUAAUGCACAGGAAUAUGCUCGCCUGUGGGGGAUAAUGACCGGAAACGGGCGCUAAUACCGCCUACGUCCUGCGCGAGCAAGAGGGGGAGCUUCGGACAUCAUGCUAUCAGAUGAGCCUAGGUCGGAUUAGCGAGUUGGUGGGGUAGAGGCCUACUGAGGAGACGAUCCGUAACUGGGCUGAGAGGAUGAUCAGUCACACUGGGACGGCGGCACAGUCCAGACUCCAACGGGGGGCAGCAGUGGUGAAUAAGGGAGAAGGGGCGAAAGCCUGAUCCAGCCAGGCCGCGUGUGUGAAGAAGGUCGUCGGAGGGUAAAGCACUUUAAGUUGGGAGGAAGGGCAGUAAGUUAAUACCGUGCUGUUGUGACGAUACCAACAGAAUAGGCACCGGCUAACUGCG
rnacentral:rRNA from 1 species